rnacentral:lncRNA from 1 species
GAUAAGCCCAAGCCUGGCUUGACAAUGAAAUGUGCUUAUUAUCUCAGUCCAAAUCCGACUUAAUUUUGUUCGGACCUAGCCCAACUCGUGGUUGGGCUAGCUUGAGCCCAUUUCCAGCCCUCAUUAUAGGGUUUUAAAAAAACAUGGGAUAGGGAAGGAUGGAGGGACCAUUCAACCCGAAAUCAGAGAGAUUUUGGAGGGAUUUAGAAGAUGGUUGUAACGUAGGUCCAACAUUUAAUUGUAAGA